GCUCUGGGGCUGCUGCUCUGCUUCAGGGCAGCAUGUGGUGGGAUGGCUGCCUUCACGGACAGAAAGACAACAGCCUGAGAACACUGAGAGCCACACAGCCACAAGGAAGGCCAAGCAGCAGGCCAGCUUAAAGCCCAAGGAGCAGACAGAGUGCUAUUGGGACACAAGGAUUGCCCUGGAGAAGCUAGUGUUUGGAGUGGGAUCACCUGGAGGCUGAGGAGUGCACGGUAGCACAGAGCUGGGAUAAAGCGUUCACUGCAGGCAGCAUGGCUGCCCAGAGGACUGCUCCUCCACCACUGCCAACCCUCCCUCACUCUGCAUCCUGUUGGCUGCCAGGAGCCCCUCCUGCCUGUGAGUAGGGACCUUCGUGUCUCUAGGGAUGACAGUUGGCUGCAUGCAGAGCCCUUGGGACCAAGCAGGCCGUAAGCAGCAGCCCCAGGCAGAGCUGCUGCAGCCACUGCUAUCACUGCUGAUGGCACUGCUGUCACUGCCAUUGGUGUCACUACUGCUGCUGCAGCCACUGCUGCCGCCUCCAGGAGAUGUGAGAAGAGGAUGCACAGAGGAGCCCACAACCGUUCUGUAACCCUAUUUUGUCUUUGAAGUGGUAGCACAAUAGUUAUCAAAUUGUUACUGUUAAACAGUUAUU
rnacentral:lncRNA from 7 species